CUGGAGGCCUUCACUGUCAGCUUGGAUGAGGCUCUGAGUAAACUGAUCUAGAUGAAGAUGUCCCUGCUCAUUGAGGGGGUUGGACUAGGUGACCUUUAGAGGUCCCUUCUAACCCAAACCAUUC